GUUAUUUGUUACAACUGCAUGUGAAUCUACAAUUACCUCAAAAUUAAAAGUUUAAUAAAAAAUAGUUAUGAACCCUUUGCUGCUAAGGUUUAUAGUACUUUGGAGGAGUCAUUAAUUAAAUCUCUAUAUAAACACAUAAAAAUUCAACUGUAAUAAUGCUUUGAGGAAAAGAUAUUUAGUCUCAGGAGAACAUGUAAUAGGUAGGGUGUGACCAUAUAAUUUAUUGCUCAAACUGGGACACUUUGAGAGUGAAAGAAGGUGCUAUUAUUAAUUAGGCUGAAAAAGGAGUCCUAAAUUGGGGCACUGGUCACCCUAAUAAUGGGGCAGGGGUCCUGAGGUCGGGGGAGGCUCCCAUAGGGAAAUGAAGCUAGACCCAAGAUCUGAAGAAAGAUUGAGAAUGAAUCAGGCAGGUAGGGAGGGGAAAGGCAACACAGGCAAAAACCCCACAGCAGGAGAGAGCCUGUCCUUGAGGGAGCAGGAGCACCCAGGGUGCUCCCAGGAGCUCGGGGAAAUCCCUGCAUGGUUUUUGGUGGGAGAAGCCUCAUCUGGGCUCUGGUUCCUGUGACCCGAGUAGCACUCUCCCUUCCUUCUGCCUUCCUGAUGCUGAACUUGGGUGUAAACCACAUGUUUGUUUUCAGGCUAUAUUUAGUUCCUUGCUUUGCUCUUCUUUGCUACGCUUGAACAAUUUCCCAAGAACUUCCAGCUCUCUUAGGUCCCCCGUGAUGCUCCUGAUUCUGAGUGUGGAUGGGUGAAAGAGUCAUGGUCCAAGUGCGGGGGUGGGAGGGCCACAGAGCAUCCAUGAUACAUCUUCUCCUCUGGCUGUAGCUAAAUGGCCUCCGGCUCUUCUUGGGGGUGUCCAUCUUGUCCUCAGCGGGAUGCUUCUUCGGAGCUUCAACUCUGUCUUUACUUGGCUUUUCUUACCCAUCUAGAAGCUAAUCCUUGCCCCCUCUUUCUCCACCCAGGCUCCUCAUUCUUGCUUGUCUUGUAUCCAAACUUGGACUCAGGAAAUCUGCACCCCAUCCCCCUCCACCAAGUUCUCUGAGCACCAGGGACUCCAUCUAUAAAUACAGAUACUGACCUGGCCUGCCGACCUCUCAGGACUCUGGGAAGAUUAAAUGCACAUCUGCUUCCCCAUCUGUAAAAUGGAGAUAUCAGCAGUUCCUAUCUCAAAGUUUUUUUUUUUUUUCUUGUUUUUUAGGAUCCAAUGACAUAAUCUCUGAAUAGUGCCUGGCAUAUAAGCACUGAAUAAAUCAUUACUAGACCUCUUUACCUCUCCUCUCUAAUCUCCCUCUACACCCACCCACCCCCUGCCACCAAAUGUGCUCCAUCUGCUCCAUGAUGCCUGGAUUUCCUUCAUGAGAAGUCAAAACUUUUAUUCCCCAAGGUGAGACUGCAGAAUUAAAGAGUAAAUCAUCUCGAGGCAAUGGCCUUGUUGGUUGACCUCAAUGCUAUGACUCUGAACAAUUAUGAAACAGUCGUUUCCCUUGCUUCUGAGAUACCACUAUCUACGGGUUCCCCUUCUACUGCUCAAGCUGCCUCUUCCCAGGCUCAUCAGUGUGUCCUCCUGGCCCACCCUCUUACCAACAUUAAGGGUUUCAACUGGAUGCUUUCAUUUCCCACGUUGUCUUGAAGAGACCACCUUAUCUCUAGGAACGUAGCAUUGCUGUUAGAGUCGUCAGGGAGAAGAGUAAAACAAAAACCUGUUUCCUCCAACCUUCUUUCCCAUUGCACCCACCUCAUUAGGUCGAUGCUUUUGUUUUUGGGGACAUGAGUAGGGGGCAGAUGUUGACAAUGUUGGUGAUGGCUUUCAGCAGCUUAACAAGUGUGUUCUUUUCCUGGAGGUUGUUAUGUUUCUGUUGUUGACUUGUCUUCUUCAGCCUGAACUUGCUACUUGAACACAGGCCUGGAAUUCAUUGAGCAUAAUUUUCUCUUCCUUUCUAGAGGUGUCAUUUAAAGAUAAGAAUGUCAACAACUAAAUCAGCAACCUCUACUCAACUGCUAGGCAUGUUGCAGGAACCAUGUGCCUGAUCAGCUACCAGCGUCAGUCCUCAUGGUGUGUCCUUGUGUGGGGAGACAGGGGGCACUGCAGAAAGAACGCUGGCGUUAGAGCCAAGGAGACCUGAAUGUAAAUAUUGCCUAAGGCCUGUUGUGUGAUCUAGAGGAAGAUGCUAUAAACCGCUGUGUAAGAACUUAGCUCUAAUGUCAUAUAGAUCUGGAUUCAAACCCUGAAUUCUGUCACUCACAAGCUGUGCAAUCCAACCUCUCUGAAUCAAGAUUUCCUCAGCUAUAAAAUGGGCCAAAGUGCUGACCUCCACGGGACCAUUAAGAAGAUUCCAAAAAGGAUGUGAAGUGGCUUAUCAACACCGCACAGCUAUUGUAAGACUGAAGAGUAUCAAACAACAAAAACAAACAGUAUUUAGUAAAAGGGGAGCAGAGGAUAAAGAUCUUGUUCUGAAGACAGUUGGAGCAAGUGAACCUGGUACUCAGCUUGACUGUCGAGACAAGAGGAAGACAAAGUGAGAAGACAAAGCCACUUUAAGAACGCCUUUAAAAAAGGAUGUCAGUUUCACAGGAGAAAGCCACUUUUUCCGGCUCUAAGUUUUAUGAGGAAUAUGUCUUUAGAUCCUCAUAUGAGGAGUGCUGAACAUGUUAUAAAAUAUGAGAAACAGGCUUAA